UCUAACCAAUCACAGAGUGACUUCUUAGCAGCACCCUGCUUUCGGUCCUCCAUUGCAGUUUCUGGAGCAGCAGCCAGACGGGAUGGUAGCCAUCCUUCCUUCCCCGUAACGUGGAGAUGCUAAACAGAGGAACUGAGGGGGCCUUCAUCUACUAUCAUUGGUUAUGAGGAAAAACAAACACCACAAAUAUGAGGAGGCCGUUUAACAGAACCAGUCGUCAGAUUAUGUCACUUUUAAUCUUAUUAGAAGUGGAGUACAAGGCAGAAAGAAAAUGGUGUUCAAACUUGGCCACACAGUAGUAAGUGGUACUUGAAACAAGUCAGCCAUUCUUCUGUGGUUGCAGAUGGAAACGUCUGAACUGUACUUUUCUCUGAAAAUAAAUAAAUAAACAAAGUGAGC